CCUACGGGAGGCUGCAGUGGGGAAUAUUGGACAAUGGGGGGAACCCUGAUCCAGCCAUGCCGCGUGUGUGAAGAAGGCCCUCGGGUUGUAAAGCACUUUCAGUGAGGAAGAACGCCUGGUGGUUAAUACCCAUCAGGAAAGACAUCACUCACAGAAGAAGCACCGGCUAACUCCGUGCCAGCAGCCGCGGUAAUACGGAGGGUGCGAGCGUUAAUCGCAAUUACUGGGCGUAAAGCGCGCGUAGGUGGCUUGAUAAGCCGGUUGUGAAAGCCCCGGGCUCAACCUGGGAACGGCAUCCGGAACUGUCAAGCUAGAGUGCAGGAGAGGAAGGUAGAAUUCCCGGUGUAGCGGUGAAAUGCGUAGAGAUCGGGAGGAAUACCAGUGGCGAAGGCGGCCUUCUGGACUGACACUGACACUGAGGUGCGAAAGCGUGGGUAGCAAACAGGAUUAGAUACCCCUGUAGUC
rnacentral:rRNA from 1 species